rnacentral:rRNA from 1 species
AAUGAACGCUGGCGGCGUGCCUAACACAUGCAAGUCGAGCGAGAAAGUCUCUUCGGAGAUAAGUACAGCGGCGGACGGGUGAGUAACGCGUGAGAAUUUACCCUUUAGUGAAGAAUACCUCUGAGAAAUCAGGGUUAAUACUGCAUACGUCCCUACGGGGAGAAAGGUGGCCUCUUUGCUGCCGCUAAAGGAUAAGCUUGCGUACUAUUAGCUAGUUGGUGAGGUAAAGGCUCACCAAGGCGAUGAUGGUUAGCCGGCCUGAGAGGGUGUACGGCCACACUGGAACUUAGACACGGUCCAGACUCCUACGGGAGGCAGCAGUGAGGAAUAUUGCGCAAUGGGCGAAAGCCUGACGCAGCGACGCCGCGUGGAGGAUGAAGGUCUUCGGAUUGUAAACUCCUGUUAAGUGGGAAGAAAGACCUAUUUCUAAUACAGAUAGGGGAUGACGGUACCAUUAGAGAAAGCACCGGCUAAACUUCGUGCCAGCAGCCGCGGU